AGGGGUGCCAAUGCAGGUGUUCAAAGGAAGAUUCAAGAUGUGUACCCAAAUGUCCAUUACAUCCACUGCUAUUCGAAUCAACUCAAUUUAAUAAUGCAAAAGGCCACUUCUCACAUACCCAAAGUUAGAUUUUUUUUUUCUGACCUUGGGUGAUCUGGAAAAAAGGCUGGCAAAUCCUCCAAGCGCACAAAUGUACUUGAUAAAGUUGUUGCCCAUAGACUACCAGCAUCGAGCAGUGUUAGAUGGAACCUUCACAGCUGUGCCAUCAAUACAGUGUUUGAGCACAGAGAGGGCCUCAUUCGCUGUUUUGAAACUAUUUGAGACUCGGGUAACUUUGACCCUGUUUCCACCAGAGAGGCAGGAGGCUUUGCCAUGCUGCUGGAUGAUCAGGAUUUAAAAAAUAUCUGCACCGUUUCCACAUCAUCAUGCCACAUGUGGACAUCUCUAUGCCAAACUCCAGCAGAAGGUUAUAGAUUCAGUUCACAUUAAGGGGAGCAUCCAGCAGUUCCAGCAGGACAUACAGAAGAUCAGCAGUGAAGGAGCUUCUCAACCGAAGAGGCGGCGGUCGACCAGUCCAGAAGUCCAUGAACGGAUUGCAUCAGAAGUUUGUGGCACCAUACUCCAACACACCAUGGAACGGUUCUGCUUCACAAGCCACCUCAUCAGUGCCACCUUGCUGCAAGCAGACAGGUUUGAACCGUACACCGUGGCGUUUCCUGAAGAUGCACUGAGUAGGACUUUGAAGGCCUAUCCAGUGUUCAAUGGGAGUAAGCUCAAGACAGAGCUUAGUCUCAUCCACGGCAAGGAAGAUUUCAGAACCUGUUGUCGUGCUGUGGACCUAUUCCAGCUGCUUAAGGAGAACAAUCUUGAAGAAGUCUUUUCAGAGACUGUCACUCUCCUAAAGAUCCUCAUCACCACACCCAUGACCACAGCAGAGUCUGAGAGUUGUUUGAAAAGACUUAAGACUUUUCUUAGAAAUAGCAUGACCCA